GGUAAAAUAAAUGUCUGUGAUUUAUCUUCUAAUUACAAAUACAGCAGAGCAAUACAAUAUCAUGGUUCUCACAUUUGAAUUAUAAUAUAUUCAUAAAUACCCAAUAAUUGUGUCCAUAAUUAGUGAACAAUAGUUACACUACCAUUAAAACCUUUGGGGUCACAUAGACAUUUUCAAAAGAGAAGCACAUUCUUGUCCAAUGAAAUUAUAUCAAAUUGAUCAGAAAUAGUGCAGACAUUGUUAGUGUUGUAAAUGACUAUUGUAACUGAACAACAGACUUUUAAUGUUGUGGGAGCAGGAAGCAAUGCCCACCAAGCCAACCAAACUUGUGGGAGGCGCUUCAGAACACAUGAAGGGUGAAAUCUCUUCAGAUUAUCCUCAACAAAUUAAACACUAGAAGGCCAAAGGAAUGCAAGUCUGUAAUUGCUGCAUAUGGAGGAUCCCUUGAUGAUAAAGUUUGAAGGACAAUUAUUAUUACAAGUAAGAAUUAUUUCAAACCUUGUCAAUGACUAUUUCCUAUUCAUUUUGCUAUAUUUCCUACUCAAACUCAUUUGUUGUUUGAUUUCAUGAAAUUUCCAAGUGACCCCAAACUUUUGAAAAGUAGUCUAAACCGAGAGUGCUAUCAGGCUCUAAUUACUUUUUUCAGCGCUUUCAGAUCUAGAUGAUACUCAUCAUUUUAAUGUGUUUCUACCCCUUUCCUGACGACCUUAAAUAAAAUAUCUGGACCAAUACAUUUAGUGGUUUAAACAUAUAUUCAUUAUAAGAAAGACAGGAAUGUGAAAGUUUUAGUUUUUCACAUUAGACAGUCGAACAAACAGACAUCUGUAUCAUUUUCAUUACGCACCAAAUACAGGAAAUUGACUAAAACAGGGAAGGACUGACUGGAUUUAAUAGUCCAACAAGAAAGCAUUUUGUUCCAUUUAUCAUAAAAAUUAAGCAACGUUUUCCAUUGUUACCAUAAUUUGCAGAACGCAUGACAAAAGUGUGGAACAAACAAUGUGUACAUUUAGAUUCAGUGGACAGUCUAUUAGGUAAUACCACACUGUUCAAAAAAAUGUAUAGGCCCUACCGACAGGCAUCCAGAAUAUUAGAAGAGGCUAAACAAGUG
ensembl:lncRNA